ACAGACUGAUGAUAACUCAAGUACCUGAGAGAGGUAAGCCAUAAAAACAGACUUUUGACGGGAUAAGCAUAGUUUCCUGGAUGAAUCAAGUUGUGUUCACUACGAGCAUGCAGCCGCUCGUAUGGCUCUCUGUAAGACACCGCAGCUGGGCAGACCAACCAGCUUUACCACCAGUAAAUGUUCGUCCGGAACUUUGUUCCUUCGGUGAGAGGCCCUUCUCUGUUGACUCUCAUUGUUACUACUGUUAGUGCAGGUUUCCGGCUCUAGAUUGAGGCGACACGCAUGUGCAUUCAUGCGUGGCGUCAGCGCAUUUGUUGAGUUACCGUUCCUUUUUAACUCGGACCAGCGACGACGACCGUGUCUUCUUCCUGUCAUAGCAGCGAGCCCUGAUUUGAAAUUUCUAGCGGUCGGUUAUUUGUUUUCUUUUGUUCCUGGCGACGGUGCUGCUAAUUAUAACCGCGGAAUAGGAGCUCCCAAAAUAUCUGCCCUUCUGCAGUCGGGGACUUGCGGCCCGUUGACUCGUCUCCAGGCGUUGUUCCCGCUCACUCCGACGCGCAUGGCAACUUUGCCACACUGGGGAUGUUACUGUCUACUGUGGCCUCAUUUUUGACAUGAAUUGGCUCGCGCCCAUUGGAUGCUCGUUUUUCCUCUCUUAUUUCCCGCGGUGUGUCACCACCUCGGUCCUCUGAGCCUGUACAGAAGUGAAACGUAAAUACGUCCAGUUGGCUGUGCGGAAGCCUGUCCCGCGCGAUUCAGAGCAAGAAUCUCCGAAGCAUGUUGCAUUGCCUUGCAAUCAGACGAUAGUAUUUUUUCGAUGGGCAAGCAAAGUGAGCGUACACCGGGAUAGUAACGCUGCGGGUCCCCGUGAGAUUGAGCGAUUCACUGUACAGGCCCUCUAGUUCUGUCGAAACCACGGCAUGGGGAAUGCACCUAACCGAGCUGGUCAAGCGACAGGUACGAGAACUCGUACCUCAUGCGGUGACCGAAGCGCUGGUGGUGUCGGGUCGAGGCACGAUGACCCUGCACGUGUGUGCCCCGCUUCGGACACGACUUCGGGAGGAGUUCCCUCGUCAUCGAUCGUUUCAGCGUUUUCUCCCUCUGUUGUUGUCCAAACAUGUGUGGCCGUGAAGGCGGUGGCCGAAUGCGGACAGUGCCUGGAAGCGACUGAGGAGAAGGUUGCGGCAGCGCCACGCAAUGUCGUCCUUUCAGAGCGGUUCUUCCCUCUCACUAUAGACGUAGACCGGCCGAACAAAUUUCUCUUUAUAGCAAACACGUACCAUGAUCAUCAAACACGUCAUCGUACGGCGCUUCAUGACUGCGCCAACACUGUGGGAGCCCUGCAGAGCUUGCUGAGACCAUCCACGACAGGGAAGCACGCCGAUUCGCCUGAAAGGACCUCUAGUACUCAUUGGCAGGGAAAAGAUGCGAUUCAGCGACAUGCGACGCUCGAAAAUAGCAGCAUCGCCUUUGCCGUUAAUCGACCCAAGGCACGAUUUCUAAAAGAAUUUGAGGAGUUUUGUGAAUGCGUUCAACCAGGUGACAGCGUCUGCGUAUACUAUGCAGGGCUUGCGACGCAGGUGAGCGCACAGCCGUGUUUCGUAACCCCGGUGAGUCAUACCGAGGCCCACGAAACAUCAGGGAAACCGCGAAACAGUAUCAAACGCUGCACCGUCAAUCUUGUCGAUAUGGUGGACUCUGUGGCGGCACGGUCUCCAAGGAUGGUGUGCUUCAUUUUGGACUGCGCGGCAGAUUUUGAUGCCCUCAACAAGCGUGCCCUACCGAUUUCUGUGGGCCUGCCGAUGAUCUAUGAAUUUGUCGGCGACAAAAUCAUCAUCAUGCAGAGUCUCGCACCCGGCGUCUCGUUGCCAUCCGAAUUGCUGUCACAACGGACAGCGAGUGCGGAAGACUGCUUUCCGGGGAGCACCUUUUCAGCACCUCGAGAGGAUAUGGAAAGGUACAAGGGGAUCGAAGCUCUUUCGCUACCCAGUACCUUCCACAGCCCAGUGCGAGGCAGAGACGUUUCUCGGUGGGACUCUGAGGAAGGCAGAAUCUGGCUGCAUCGAGAAUCGGUGGAAGAGAACUCAAAUAGCGAUACUACUAUGAGGCGUGAGUCUUGCGACUCACCGGAGCUACAGCCGCUCGACCAGAUUGAAGUUCCGUGUGAUGUGAACCCUCGGACGCCCUACGAAUCAUUCUUUACGCAUGCAAAGCACGCUUGCGGACCGGAGGAACUUGCAACCAUUCCCCGUACGUGGGAGCGUUGCAUCGAGCCAUGUAGUAACUUGUCAUUCUGCAUCAUUCAGGCAUCGCACAGCCUUGCGAAAGGGGCAGGCCUCGAUUUCCUCAGUAUGGCUCAACUAAUCUCUCCGCUGGUGAAUCGGGUCACCAGCAACAAACAGGCGUUUUGUUGUCUGACCAACAUGUAACCGACACAGAGACGUUAGCCCUUCGGUCCAUUCUAGGGAUUCAAAGUGCGAAGGGUUGCCCCCAUCUCGGAUGCAACAAGCUUUACGCGGUGACGCCCAGGCUCUGGCCUCAUGAAUCAUCAAACAUCCGUCAAGCAGAAAACAGUCAGUGAUCUACAACAGAAAGACAUGAGAUUUUAGUUGCAGGCGUAUACAGGUUGGUGGUUGCAUCUUUCGUGUGUCCGCGCGCGCUGUGCCUCUAGAGUUUGAAAACGGUACAGGCCUAUCGGGGAAUUUGACCCCCCAGAGCCCAGAGGGCGGGGAAUCAGCGAUACAGCGGUUCGCUUCCGUGUCCGUGCAUUGCGUUCAGCUAAGCGUGUCGACAGUCCCGUGUCUAGGAAUUGCCGCAUGGAAGUUCGGUGUUUUAGGGAAGGGUGCCAUUUUUUUGAGAACUGACGCGCAAUCUCUCCUGAGUUUGCUUCUUCACGAGUAGAGCGACACCACCUGCUGACAGUGAUCUUACUGGGCACCCUUCUUCAGCAUUUUUGCAUAUGGGCUUCCGCAGUGACUCAUCCAUAUACACUCGAAACUAUGGAACUGAAGAAAAUGGUCUCUUCCAAUCCCACGGACAACGACG
rnacentral:lncRNA from 1 species